UACGGAGGGGGCUAGCGUUGUUCGGAAUUACUGGGCGUAAAGCGCACGUAGGCGGCUGUUCAAGUCAGAGGUGAAAGCCUGGAGCUCAACUCCAGAACUGCCUUUGAAACUAGACAGCUAGAAUCAUGGAGAGGUGAGUGGAAUUCCGAGUGUAGAGGUGAAAUUCGUAGAUAUUCGGAAGAACACCAGUGGCGAAGGCGGCUCACUGGACAUGUAUUGACGCUGAGGUGCGAAAGCGUGGGGAGCGAACAGG
rnacentral:rRNA from 1 species